rnacentral:tRNA from 1 species
GGGGCGGUGGUCUAGUUGGUAUGUCGCUCUGCCUUGUAGGCAGAGAGGUCGGUGGUUCAAAUCCAUCCCGCUCCA